GAAACAGUGGCUAAGACUGGAUAGGAAGAUAAAAGGCAUCUUGUAUCUUUUAAAAGACCUAGUUAAUAGGUAUGCUUUAGGAGGGGCUUGCGCCAUAUUAGUUAGUUGGUAGGGUAAUGGCCUACCAAGACGAUGAUGUGUAGCUGGACUGAGAGGUUGAACAGCCACAUUGGGACUGAGACACGGCCCAAACUCCUACGGGAGGCAGCAGUAGGGAAUUUUCGGCAAUGGAGGAAACUCUGACCGAGCAACGCCGCGUGAAUGACGAAGUACUUCGGUAUGUAAAGUUCUUUUAUCGAGGAAGAAAAGCAAAUGGCGAACCAUUUGUUUGCCGGUACUUGAUGAGUAAGCCCCGGCUAAUUAUGUGCCAGCAGCCGCGGUAAGACAUAAGGGGGCAAGUGUUAUCCGGAAUUAUUGGGCGUAAAGGGUGCGUAGGCGGUCUAGUAAGUCAGUGGUGUAAUGUCAACGCUUAACGUUGUCCGGCUAUUGAAACUGCUAAACUUGAGUUAGAUAGAGGCGAGUGGAAUUCCAUGUGUAGCGGUAAAAUGCGUAAAUAUAUGGAGGAACACCAGAGGGCGUAGGCGGCUCGCUGGGUCUUAACUGACGCUGAGCACGAAAGCGUGGGGAGCAAACAGGAUUAGAUACCCUGGUAGUCCACGCCGUAAACGAUGAGUACUAAGUGUCGGGUUAAACCGGUACUGAAGUUAACACAUUAAGUACUCCGCCUGAGUAGUACGUACGCAAGUAUGAAACUUAAAGGAAUUGACGGGACUCCGCACAAGCGGUGGAUCAUGUUGUUUAAUUCGAAGAUACCCGAAAAACCUUUACCAGGUCUUGACAUGUUUUUGCAAAAUGAUAGUAAUAUCGUGGAGGUUACCAGAAACACAGGUGGUGCAUGGUUGUCGUCAGCUCGUGUCGUGAGAUGUUAGGUUAAGUCCUAAAACGAGCGAAACCCUUAUCGUUAGUUGCCAGCACGUUAUGGUGGGGACUUUAACGAGACUGCCAAUGAUAAAUUGGAGGAAGGUGAGGAUCACGUCAAAUCAGCAUGCCCCUUAUGACCUGGGCUACAAACGUGAUACAAUGGCUGUUACAAAGGGUAGCUGAAACGCAAGUUCUUGGCCAAUCCCCAAAAACAGUCCCAGUCCGGAUUGAAGUCUGCAACUCGACUUCAUGAAGUUGGAAUCGCUAGUAAUCGCGAAUCAGCAUGUCGCGGUGAAUACGUUCUCGGGGUUUGUACACACCGCCCGUCA
rnacentral:rRNA from 1 species